CAAAAUUUCUUAACAAAGGAAACCUGUUAAGCAACAAGGGAAUAUUUUCUGCAAAUUUUUUUCAUGUUAGCAUCUCUAAGCACAGUGCUGAGGAGUACAAGAAUGACAUUAACUAAUAAUAUGAAAAUUGGAGUGUCUACCUGUCACCCAGCUCUCACCUGUGCCUCUAAGAAGCUACAGAAUGAAUGUACAGAGGCCAUAGCCCAGUAA
rnacentral:lncRNA from 1 species